rnacentral:rRNA from 1 species
UACGAAGGGGGCUAGCGUUGCUCGGAAUCACUGGGCGUAAAGGAUGCGUAGGCGGGUCUUUUAAGUCAGGGGUGAAAUCCUGGAGCUCAACUCCAGAACUGCCUUUGAUACUGAAGAUCUUGAGUUCGGGAGAGGUGAGUGGAACUGCGAGUGUAGAGGUGAAAUUCGUAGAUAUUCGCAAGAACACCAGUGGCGAAGGCGGCUCACUGGCCCGAUACUGACGCUGAGGCACGAAAGCGUGGGGAGCAAACAGG